rnacentral:rRNA from 1 species
CAGUCGCCGCGGUAAUACGUAGGUGGCAAGCGUUGUCCGGAAUUAUUGGGCGUAAAGGGCUCGCAGGCGGUUUCUUAAGUCUGAUGUGAAAGCCCCCGGCUCAACCGGGGAGGGUCAUUGGAAACUGGGAAACUUGAGUGCAGAAGAGGAGAGUGGAAUUCCACGUGUAGCGGUGAAAUACGUAGAGAUGUGGAGGAACACCAGUGGCGGAGGCGACUCUCUGGUCUGUAACUGACGCUGAGGAGCGAAAGCGUGGGGAGCGAACAGGAUUAGAUACCCCCGUAGUCCCUGUCUCUUAUAA